GAGACGCGGGAGGAGAGGAGAAGAGGACGCGCCGCGGAUGGAGGAGCCCCGAGGACGGAGGAGAGAGAGGCCCGGCCACCCCGGACACCCCACGCACACACACACUCUUCCAUGUCUGCCUCUGAUGUAGAGACUUCCACAAGAUGGACUGUCCAGCCACAGGGAGAGCAGGGGAACCUGGAUUCCUCAUGACCCGGCUUACAUCCAAGGAGUGCCAAUUGCCUUGAAGUCAGAUAAAUCAAGUUUGCAAGCCUUUCGUCAUUUAUCCUCUAUUGAUGGCCAGUUAUGCUCACUUUGAGGACGUGGACUUGCUGAUUUGCCCCAGUUAUUUUGGUUUCUGCUGAGCCAACGUUAAGCCGGGCAGCGGGAUGGCAUGAGCCCAUUAUGGAAAGCAUCUUAGGGAGUUCAGUGCCUUUCCGUGUCAGUUUUAUAGCAGAAUCCUGCCACAGCAUUGAAGGCAGCCUGUUUUUUUAAAAAGAGACAACCUUGAAAUGUAUAAAAUGAGAAUAGAUCUCCGUCAUGCGUGCCUAUGUGCCUUGCAGUGACACUAUGAAUUCCGUAGGGUUUUCUAAGGCAAGGAAUACUCAGAGGUAGUUUGGAAAGUUAUGACGGAAAGUUAAAAUUUCACUCUUCAAAUAGGUAUGUACAGAUGUUUAUUUAUUUUUAUUUAUUUAUUUACGGUAUUUAUAUUCCGCCCUUCUCACCCCGAAGGGGACUCAGGGCGGAUCACUAUGCUCACAUAUACAUGGUGAACAUUCAGUGUCAUUAGACAUACAACAUAUAUAGACAGACACAGAGGCAAUUUAACAUUUUCCAGCUUCCGGCUUCAUGAGGGUAUGCUUGAUUCCAGCCAUGGGGAGCUGCCUCUUCACGGUCCACUUGUGACACUGAGUCCUUGAUGGAGUACUUCCUCAUUCUUCUGCACACUGGAGGAAGGUUUUAUGGUGUUGUAAAUUAGAUAAAUUAGCCUCCCCACAUAAAGCGGUACCUAAAUUUCCUACUCGACAGAUGCAACUGUCUUUCGGGCUGCAUAGGUCAACAGUUCAUCAAGUUAGCAAAUGUUGACAGAUGUAAACAGAUGUAAACAUUUCUCUUAUCACUGCCACAGUUCUUAUCACAGUUAGCAGACAGGUCAGCUAUUUCAGGUAUCAUUAGCAACUUUUAAUUACAAUUCAGCAACCAGGAAGUUAGUCAUAUUUUAGAAUUGUGCCUUCAAAAUUUAGCUUUCAUUCAUUCAUCUUUCGUUCAGUUCCUUCAAACCAAAUAUUCAUAUUUCAUCCCGUGACACAGACUGUGAUGGCUGUUUCUGUUACAGGUAAUCCAAUGGAUGAUUUCAUCAAUUUCUUCUAGUUUUUCCAACCCUUAAGCCAUUCCAUCCUAGGGUUGUUGUGUGUUUUUCAGGCUGUAUGGCCAUGUUCCAGAAGCAUUCUCUCCUGACGUUUCACCCACAUUUUUGGCAGGCAUCCUCAGAGGUUGUGAGGUAUAUUCAAACACACAACAACCCUGUGAUUCCAGCCAUGAAAGCCUUCGACAACACAUUUCAUCCUAUUUUUUCAUCACAGCAAAACAAACACCCGGACUAAAAUUUGUAAGCAUUUUCUUGAACCUAUCCCCCAGUAUACUAUUUUCAUAUGCAUUUUUGUUUUGAUACAGUAUGUGAAUUUUUCCCUUGUGCAUCAUUCUUCCCUAGUGCACACAUUGUAGGGUGCUUUUUGCGCUCUUGUUCAUAGAAUCGCAUCUAAGAAGCUUAUGUACCAAAGAAUAACAAAUAUUACAAUUUGCAAUUUGAUGCAGGAAGGGCAACUUGGGUGAUUGGGUUGUUGUAUGUUUUCUGGGCUGCAUGGCCAUGUUCGAGAAGUAUUCUCUCCUGAUGUUUCACCCACAUCUAUGGCAGGCAUCCUCAGAGGUUGUGAGGUAUAUACCAUCUGUUCUCUAAGCUGGCAAUCUGCUACAUCUGCUUCCUUGGUAUCUAUGGCAUGACCUGUCUCUACACACUCUACUGGCUCUUUCAACAACCACUCAAAAAAUACUCCUUUGACUUUGUACUUCUUCACAAUCUCUGAGAAUGUCUGUUGCACCUCAGUGCUAGUUCAUCUUGCUCUUAACACACACCCCACCACAGAAGACUUGAUUUUUACAGUUUAUUGAUAAAGGAUAGCAAAGUUUUAAUAAAAAGCAGUAAUCCAGUUGCAAAGGCAAUCUGCAGAAUAUAUUUCAAAGUCUCUGUAGAAAAUAGUUCAAAGUCUCUAAUAUAGCAAAUCAGUUUGGAAAAACAAGGUAGUGUGAACUCCAAAAUACAAUCCAAACACAAGAUUUAGGCAUUAACAAAAGAAUCUUUUUCAAUGAGCAGAGACAAGGCAGGAAUUAAGCUUCCAAAAUCAACGUUGCUUCGUCUGAAAUCUUUCCCCAAUUCUCCCUAUUUAACCAUGCUUACAGGCUAAGAAAGCAUUCCUCUGACCUUGAGUUCCCACACGUUUACUAGUGAUUCUCACAGAAUGCCUGAAACGAUGAACACUUAACCUUCACCUUGUAUCUCUAUGUAAAUAAGACUCCUCCGACUCGCUGCCAGAGCCACCUGAACUUUGUUGAUAUUCUAAAUCUUGUGAAAGGUCACCCUUAUCACUAACUUAAGCUUCCCUGCUAGCCUGCGGCCUCUCUGACAAUUCAGAGCCUUCAAUAUUUUCUUGGUCAGCCUGCAUUUCUAUUGGAUAAACACAGACGUUUAUUCUAAACAAUGUAAUGAGCUAUAUAAAACACAAUAAUGGUUCAAAACAUAAGUAGUACACAAUAUGUAUAUUAGAGCAUCAAAUACAUAUUACAUUCACAGAAUCAAUGCUCAGUCGUAUAGUAUAUAACCCAAAAGUAUCUAACUCAUUAUUAUAAAUCAAACAAAAUGAUAUAAGUCCUCAGUCCUAAAAGGAUUAGAUUGGCUUAAAGGCAAACCGAUUGAUUCUGUGAAUGUAAACUCCUACUUCCUUUCUCACCCCGAGUUUUAACCUAGUGUUCAUGUGGCCCGCCCUUGGUUUUAUUGUUCUUUUGAUCUUGUUUAAUGUAGUGUAUAUUUUCUUUUAUUGUUGUUGUUUUGUUGUUGUUUAAUGUGCUAUGAUUUGUUGUUCUAUUAUAUUUUGUUAUAUUGUAUUGUUCUGGGCAUGGCCCCAUGUAAGCCGCCCCGAGUCCCCGUUGGGGAGAUGGUGGCGGGGUAUAAAUAAAGAUUAUUAUUAUUAUUAUUAUUAUUAUUAUUAUUAUUAUUAUUAUUACGAUGCUCUAAUAUACAUAUUGUGUACUACUUAUGUUUUGAACCAUUGUUGUGUUUUAUAUAGCUCAUUACAUCCUGCAUUUCUGACAAUUCAGAGCCUUCAACAUUUUCUUGAUCAGCCUGCAUUUCUGACAAUUCAGAGCCUUCAAUAUUUCCUUGGUCAACCUGCAUAAACCCAAAUCCCCCUUCAUCAUCAGACUGAACCACAACAAUGCCUGCCAUAGAUGUGGGUGAAACGUCAGGAGAGAAUACUUCUGGAACAUGGCCAUACAGUCCCGAAAACACCCAACAGCCCUGUGAUUUUGGCCAUGAAAGCCUUCGACAACACAACUUGGGUGAGUUCAUCUCAAACAGGGAAACAAACCAUGUUCCAUCCCAACUCUAUGCAAGAGAACCCAAAGGUGCACUGACCUGAAGAUUAGCAUUGGGGCACGCACUGCUAAUCGACGGCUACAAUGACUCGACAUUGCCUGAUGAAGCAAUAUCAUUUUAUACAACAAGCAAUAACGGCCCCAAAGAAUAAUCAGUCUGCUUAUUGAUUUUGGCUUGUUUAGUGUUACUGUGCCUAAUCAAUAAACCCCCAAAGUAUCUCAUCGUAAUGGCUGCUUUGCUUUGCCCUCUCCAGUAGCUUUUCAACUGCCCAGAAAGUGGGAUCGAUACACUGAAAAACCUCUUCCAUACUCAUUCUUAUGAAAUGUUUGUAUUUCUCCAUGUGAGUUUUAUGCUGGCAAAUGGCUUUUCCAAUACAUCGAGGGCUCGACUUACUUUUUCUUUAUUCUGUAGUGCUGCCUAUUGCAAUGCAACCAUCACACAAUCACCAGAGCCUCUUGAGGCUUCUUUGAAGGUCACCGGCGAAUUGACGGAAGGCGGUUCAUCCACCUUUCGAGUUAAGCCCUGAAGAUACAAUAAACUUAGGGGUUACAAAUGGCCCACUAGGAAACAUGGUUGCAGGGUUGUGAUGGAUGAUCCCAUUCUUACCUGCUAAGGACUUCUUUAUCAGUGGUUAAAGAUGUCUUGGUAGGUAAAGGUAAAGGUUUCCUCUGACGUGAAGUCCGGUCAUGUCCGACUCUGGGGGUUGGUGCUCAUGUCCAUUUCUAAGCCGGGCUGUGGCGCAGGCUGGUGAGCAGCCUGCUGCAAUAAAUCACACUGACCAUGAGGUCAUGAGUUCGAGGCCAGCCCGUGGCGGGGUGAGCACCCGUCAAUUAAAAAUAAAAAAAAUAGCCCCUGCUCGUUUAUUUUAUUUAUUUAUUUAUUUUAUUUAUUUCCAAUAUUUCUACCCCGCCCUUCUCCCCGAGGGGACUCAGGGCGGCUUACACAACUGGCAGGAUCCAUACCAGUAUAUCAAAAUACAAUAAAAUAAUACAACAGUUAAAAUACUUAAAUAACAUAAGCAGCCUGCUGCAAUAAAUCACUCUGACCAUGAGGUCAUGAGUUCGAGGCCAGCCCGUGGCGGGGUGAGCACCCGUCAAUUAAAAAUAAAAAAAUAGCCUUUGCUCGUUUAUUUUAUUUAUUUAUUUAUUUAUUUUAUUUUAUUUCCAAUAUUUCUACCCCGCCCUUCUCCCCGAGGGGACUCAGGGCGGCUUACACAACUGGCAGGAUCAAUACCAGUAUAUCAAAAUAAAAUAAUACAACAGUUAAAAUACUUAAAUAACAUAAGCAGCCUGCUGCAAUAAAUCACUCUGACCAUGAGGUCAUGAGUUCGAGGCCAGCCCGUGGCGGGGUGAGCACCCGUCAAUUAAAAAUAAAAAAAUAGCCCCUGCUCGUUUAUUUUAUUUAUUUAUUUAUUUAUUUAUUUUAUUUCCAAUAUUUCUACCCCGCCCUUCUCCCCGAGGGGACUCAGGGUGGCUUACACAACUGGCAGGAUCAAUACCAGUAUAUCAACAUACAAUAAAAUAAUACAACAGUUAAAAUACUUAAAUAACAUAAGCAGCCUGCUGCAAUAAAUCACUCUGACCAUGAGGUCAUGAGUUCGAGGCCAGCCCGUGGCGGGGUGAGCACCCGUCAAUUAAAAAUAAAAAAAUAGCCCCUGCUCGUUUAUUUUAUUUAUUUAUUUAUUUAUUUAUUUUAUUUCCAAUAUUUCUACCCCGCUCUUCUCCCCGAGGGGACUCAGGGUGGCUUACACAACUGGCAGGAUCAAUACCAGUAUAUCAACAUACAAUAAAAUAAUACAACAGUUAAAAUACUUAAAUAACAUAAGCAGCCUGCUGCAAUAAAUCACUCUGACCAUGAGGUCAUGAGUUCGAGGCCAGCCCGUGGCGGGGUGAGCACCCGUCAAUUAAAAAUAAAAAAAAUAGCCCCUGCUCGUUUAUUUUAUUUAUUUAUUUAUUUAUUUAUUUAUUUAUUUUAUUUCCAAUAUUUCUACCCCGCCCUUCUCCCCGAGGGGACUCAGGGUGGCUUACACAACUGGCAGGAUCAAUACCAGUAUAUCAAAAUACAAUAAAAUAAUACAACAGUUAAAAUACUUAAAUAACAUAAUAAAAUACAAUAUAUAAAAGAUUUAACACAGUGCAACACUGAACAUAUAUGCCAGUCAUCCAUCAGACCUUGUGCAAGAGCCUUAAUCCAAUCAGUGUCAACGCUGAGUUCAUUAUUAAAAUAUUUAUAUGUUGACCUAUAUCUAGAGAUCUCAGAGCGGCAUACAGUAAAAUCACUUUGAAAAAAGAAAGAACUGUUGGAGGCAAGUGUGAAUCUUGCAAUUAUUAUUAUUAUUAUUAUUAUUAUUAUUAUUAUUAUUAUUAUUAUUAUUAGCAACAUUUAUAUCCCGCCCUUCUCGCCCCAAAGGGGACUCAGGGCGGCUUACAAGUCAUAUGUACAUACAAGAUAUUAUAUUAUUCGUUUAGCACAAUAUAAGCAUUAUAUAUUGCUAUAUUGUGCUAUAACACCAUAUUGUAAUAUUAUUAGUAAUAUUACAUGUAAUAUAUAUAUAUAUAUAUAUAUAUCAUUAUAUUAGUUUAUUAUUAUUAUUAUUAUUAUUAUUAUUAUUAUUAUUAUUAUUAUUAGCAGCAGCAGCAGCAGCAGCAGCAGCAGCAGCAUUUAUAUCCUGCCCUUCUCACCCCAAAGGGGACUCAGGACAGCUUACAAGUUAUAUAUACAUACAAUAUAUUAUAUUAUUGGUAUAUCACAAUAUAAGCAUUAUAUAUUGCUAUAUUGUGCUAUACCACUAUAUUGUAAUAUUACUAGUAAUAUUACACGUAAUAUAAAAAUACCAUUAUAAUAGUGUAUUAUUAUUAUUAUUAUUAUUAUUAUUAUUAUUAUUAUUAUUAUUAUUAUUAUUAGCCACCUUGAUUAAUAUUGAAUAGCCUUGCAGCUUCAAAGCCUGGCUUCUUACUGAUUGGGGGAAAAUCUUUUGUUGGGUGGUGUUAGCUGGCCCUGAUUGUUUCCUGUCUGGAAUUCCCCAUUUUUUUAAGUAGUGCUCUUUAUUUACUGCCCUGAUUUUAGAACCAUGAAAAUGAAAAAAAUAAUCUGGCUACACAGUAUUUAAAAAACUCUAAAAUCAGGACAGUAAAUAACUAACAACACUCAGAAAACAGGAGAUUUCCAGACAGGAAACAAUCAGGGCCAGCUAACACCUCCUAGCAAAGGAUUCCCCCAGGCAAGAAGCAGACAGGCUUUGAGGCUGCAAGGCUAUUCAAUGCUAAUCAAGGUGGCCAAUUGCAAUAUUCAAACUUGCCUCCAACAGACAAGAGUUCUUUCUACCAUCCUAGACAUUCCACAGAUAUAUAAACCCCAUUUGCCUAGUUUCCAACAGACCUCACAACCCCUGAGGAUGCCUGCCAUAGAUGUGGGUGAAAUGUCAGGAGAGAAUGCUUCUGGAACAUGGCCAUACAGACUGCAAAACUCACAGUAGCUCAGCGAUUCUGAUUUUGAAAGCCUUCGACAACAUAUUAUAUGAUUUAUUGUGAUUAUAGUGGUUGUGCCUUCAAGUCAUUUCCAAGCUAUGAUAAUUUUAGGAUGAACCUAUCACAGGUUUUUCUUGGCAAGCUUUGGUCAAUAUUCCAGGUCUAUCUGCUCCCUUCACCCAUCAACCAAAAGAAAGUAUUUUUCUGUGUUAGAAGAAAGUUUGUUUCAGCUGCAAUCAACUGUCAGACCGUAGAAUUGCCAAAAUCAAAACGAUAACUUGUAUUAGGAAGAGAUGACGACGUUGUUCUUGCCUCUGCUGGUCUGGGGAAAAAAAUAAAGAGAUGCUAAAAAAAGAAAUGUGCUUUAGGGCCGUGCACUGGCCUUUCUGAGAUUAAAAAGAUGCAUAAAUUGAUCUCGGCAUGCUCCGUGAGCAGUGGAUCGCCCUUUCUGAUCUCGGAAGACCCGGAGGACGAGUGUCAUCAGAAUAAAAAAGGCUUCACUUAAGUGAAAUAAGUUCCCAUCAGGCCAUUUCAAGGGAAGAAUUUAGGGCUGAGUCACACAGGUACGUCCAUCAGCCAAGAAUAUAUUUAUUUACAGUAUUUAUAUUCCACCCUUCUCACUCCGAAAAAGAGUUAGGGCGGAUUACAAUGCACAUAUACAUGGCAAGCAUUCAGUGCCAUUAUUAGACAAACGACAUAUAGACAGACACAGAGGCAAUUUAUCAUUUUCCAGCUUCUGGCUUCAUGAGGGUAUUCUCAAUUCCGGCCACAGGGGGAGCUGCCAUGUCAUCCACUUGUGACACCGAGUCCUUGAUGGUAGUACUUCCUCAUUCUUCUGCACGCUGCUGGCAGUUUUAUGGAGUUAAAUUAGCCUGCCAUGUCAUCUUCUACUUGUGACACCGAGUCCUUGAUGGUAGUACUUCCUCAUUCUUCUGCACGCUGCUGGCAGUUUUAUGGAGUUAAAUUAGCCUGCCAUGUCAUCUUCCACUUGUGACACCGAGUCCUUGAUGGUAGUACUUCCUCAUUCUUCUGCAUUCUGCUGGCAGUUUUAUGGAGUUAAAUUAGCCUGCCAUGUCAUCUUCUACUUGUGACACCGAGUCCUUGAUGGUAGUACUUCCUCAUUCUUCUGCACGCUGCUGGCAGUUUUAUGGAGUUAAAUUAGCCUGCCAUGUCAUCUUCCACUUGUGACACCGAGUCCUUGAUGGUAGUACUUCCUCAUUCUUCUGCACGCUGCUGGCAGUUUUAUGGAGUUAAAUUAGCCUGCCGUGUCAUCAUCCACUUGUGACACCGAGUCCUUGAUGGUAGUACUUCCUCAUUCUUCUGCACACUGCUGGCAGUUUUAUGGAGUUAAAUUAGCCUGCCAUGUCAUCAUCCACUUGUGACACCGAGUCCUUGAUGGUAGUACUUCCUCAUUCUUCUGCACGCUGCUGGCAGUUUUAUGGAGUUAAAUUAGCCUGCCAUGUCAUCUUCCACUUGUGACACCGAGUCCUUGAUGGUAGUACUUCCUCAUUCUUCUGCACACUGCUGGCAGUUUUGUGGAGUUAAAUUAGCCUGCCAUGUCAUCAUCCACUUGUGACACCGAGUCCUUGAUGGUAGUACUUCCUCAUUCUUCUGCACGCUGCUGGCAGUUUUAUGGAGUUAAAUUAGCCUGCCGUGUCAUCAUCCACUUGUGACACCGAGUCCUUGAUGGUAGUACUUCCUCAUUCUUCUGCACACUGCUGGCAGUUUUAUGGAGUUAAAUUAGCCUGCCAUGUCAUCAUCCACUUGUGACACCGAGUCCUUGAUGGUAGUACUUCCUCAUUCUUCUGCACGCUGCUGGCAAUUUUAUGUAGUUAAAUUAGCCUCCCCACAUAAAGCGGUACCUAGAAUUUUCUACUCAACAGAUGCAACUGUUUUUUGAGUUACUUAGGUGGGCAGAGAGCUAGGACUAUUAACGGUCGGGAGCUCAAUCCGACCUGGGUUUUGAUCCCAUGACCUCUCAAUCAGUAGUGAUUUCUUGCAGCUGGCUACUAACCAGCUGCACCACAGCCCCGCCCAUCAAUUGCAACAUCAAGGAUGUUUGGCAUGUAUGCAAAUUACGCUAUUUAUUUAUUACAGUAUUUCUACCUUCUCAAAGAACAGGGGAUUCAGAGCGUUAGCUGUUGUGGUGGAUGCAAAAGCAACUCAAUACAUCGUCCCAAUGGAUGUUGAGCAUAUCUUUGCUAGAUGAGAAGUUUCAUUGUCAUCUCCUGUAGCUUCUUCUGUCAGGUCUGCAGUAGAGUUGGAAAGAAUCUCUGCAAUUAUUCAUACCUCAGCCAAGAAAUCCUGACAGUUGGGCAACCCCAUCAGAAAGCAUUGCCAUUUCUCCUAGUAUUGGAUAUUCCGAAGUGUUCGGAAAUUAUUCUGCCGAAGGGAAAUAACUGUCUUUUGCCCACGAAAAAAAAAUCCACAUGGCUUUUUUGUGCAUAGAACAGGUCCUGAUUAGCACUUCGGCGCAGCCAAAUACAGCGAGAAUCCUAUGGAGGGAUAUUCGUUUUCUCCCGCAGCAAAGAUGAAAGAGUCAAGGAUUUACAUAUUUAGUCUUCAGGGUGCCAUGUCCUGGAAAGGAUGAUGUGAAGGAGGCAAAGAAAGGCAGGCGAGGCAUGGAUCUGAGCCACCACCUUCAAAACAGAGACCAAGGAAAAGUCUGUAAUAGGCCUUUCAGCACCACGGAAAGAUCAGAGGGAGCUACACUGUUCCAACAGGUUCUCAGCUUCUGACUGAGUCCCAUCAAUAGACUUCAACUGAGUUUCACUUGAGCGUAGGACAGCGUUUCUCAACCUUGGGGUCGGGUGCGAGAGGGGUUUAGAGGACUCACCAAAGACCAGUUUUUUUCUAUUGGUCAUUGGGGUUCUGUGUGGGAAGUUUGGCCCAAUCCUAUCAUUGGUAGGGUUCAGGGACUCUUUGAUUGUAGGUGAACUAUAAAUCCCAGCAACUACAACUCCCAAAUGUCAAAGUCUAUUUUCCCCCAAACUCCAUCAGAGUUCAUAUUUGGGCAUAUUGAGUAUUGCUGCCAAGUUUGUUCCAGAUCCAUCGCUGUUUGACUCCAUAGUGCUCUCUGGUUGUAGGGGAACUAAAAGUCCAAAACUCAAGGUCAGUGCCCACCAAACCUUUCUCAAGUUGCUCCUGAUACGAAAAAAACCUAAAAAAAAAACCAAACCCAUGAAAUGUUCACCUAAGGAUCACCAUAAAUUGGAAAUGCUUUGUAGGCACAUAGCAAUCCAGUGCACUGUAUCUAAUUGGAUAAAGCGACCCGGUACACACACAUACACUCCAAACACAAACGUGCUCAUAUUAGCCAUUAACAUUUGAAAAUAUGCACCUUGUUUUCAGUGCAUAUGGUUUCGGCAGAACACUCAGUAAGCCUCCCAAAUGAGUGAACACUUCUGAAGAGAUGGAUUUCUUCUCUCAAGAACUUUCAGGAGGUGUGGGACUGCUGAAUCCAAGAACUUUGUUUCCAUUCUUAUGUCCUGAAGCUCCUAUGGCAGUGGUUCUCCACCUUCCUAAAGCCGUGACCUCCUAGAUCAGGGGUCCCCAAACUUUUUAAACAGGGGGCCAGUUCACGAUCCUUCGGACCGUAGGAGGGCCAGACUAUAGUUGGCCACCGAGCAAUAAUUAAUAAUAGUAUUAAUAAUAGUAUUAAUAAUAACAACAACAAUAAUAAUAAAAAAGAGGGUUGGAAGAGACCCUUUGGGUCAUUGAGUCCAACCCCCUUCUGCCUUUGUGCACCGAAAGCACAAGCAAAGCACCCCUGACAGAUGGCCGCCCAGCCUCAAUGUUAAUAAUAAUAAUAUAACAAUAAUAAUAAUAAUAAUAAUAAGGAGCAAGCCAUCAGAACAAAUGCAAUCAAGGCCAAGAUCGAAAAAUCAGCUGAUGACCCAAAAUGCAGACUGUGCAAGGAAACCGAUGAAACCAUUGAUCAUAUCCUCAGCUGCUGUAAGAAAAUUGCACAGACAGACUACAAACAGAGGCACAACUAUGUGGCCCAAAUGAUUCAUUGGAACCUAUGCCUCAAGUAUCACCUCCCUGCAGUUAAGAACUGGUGGGAUCACAAACCUGCAAAGGUUGUGGAAAAUGAACACGCAAAGAUACUGUGGGACUUCCGAAUCCAGACUGACAAAGUUCUGGAACACAACACACCAGACAUCACAGUUGUGGAAAAGAAAAAGGUUUGGAUCAUUGAUGUUGCCAUCCCAGGUGACAGUCGCAUUGAAGAAAAACAACAGGAAAAACUCAGCCGCUAUCAGGACCUCAAGAUUGAACUUCAAAGACUCUGGCAGAAACCAGUGCAGGUGGUCCCAGUGGUGAGGGGCACACUGGGUGCCGUGCCAAAAGAUCUCAGCCGGCAUUUGGAGAGAAUAGACAUUGACAAAAUUACGAUCUGCCAACUGCAAAAGGCCACCUUACUGGGAUCUGCACGCAUCAUCCGAAAAUACAUCACACAGUCCUAGCCACUUGGGAAGUGUUCGACUUGUGAUUUUGUGAAACGAAAUCCAGCAUAUCUAUCUUGUUUGCUGUGUCAUACAAUGUCGUUGUGUCAAUAAUAAUAAUAAUAAGGUUGGAAGAGACCCCUUGGGCCAUUGAGUCCAAUCCCCUUCUGCCUCUGUGCACCAAAAGCACAAGCAAAGUAUCCCUGACAGAUGGCCACCCAGCCUCAAUAUUAAUAAUAAUAAUAAUAAUAAUAAUAAUAAUAAUAAUAAUAAUAAUAAUAAUAAUAAUAAUGGUUGUAAGAGAAGAAGAGACCCCUUGGGUCAUUUAGCCCAACCCCCUUCUGCCCUUGUGCUGUGGGGGCCGGAUAAAUGGCUUCGAUGGGCCGCAUCCGGCCCCCGGGCCUUAGUUUGGGGACCCCUGUCCUAGAUCAUGUGGCCAGCAUGACUGUAUGGAGUGCUGUUACCUUCCCGCAGAAGCGGUACCUAUUGAUCUACUCAUAUUUGCAUGUUUUUGAACUGCUAGGUUGGCAAAAGCUGAAGCUAAUAGCAGGAGCUCAAUCCAUUCCCCAGAUUCAAACUGUCAGUGUUUUGGUCAGCAAGUUCAGCAGCUCAGCGGUUUAAUACACUGCACCACCGGAGCUCCUGCCAUUCUACAGCUAUCUAUAUAUAUAAAAGAGUGAUGGCAUCACGGCGACCGACAAAACAACAAAACUACAGGCCCCCCAACCUCUAAAUUUGACAACACAACCCAUCAUCCACGGCUCUAGGUUGAUACAACAAAAAGAAAAGAAAAAUAAAGUCCUAAUUAGAGGGAGAGGAAUAAUUGCUUUUAUCCAAUUGCUGCCAGUUAGAAGGCUAAGCUCCUCCAACUUAGUCUCCUAGCAACCCAAUAAAAAGAAUUUAAAACACUAAAAAUUAAUACAAUAAAAUAAUAUAAUAACAGAAAAUAACUAAAAAUAAUAAAGGAAAAUAAUAAAAUAUAAUAAAUAAAAAGAUAACUUACAAUAAAAUUAAUUUUAAAAAAUACAAAUAACAUCAAAUAAAAAUUACACAACAAUUUUUAACCAAUACCACCACCACUUUGCCACAGCAACGCGUGGCCGGGCACAGCUAGUCUUCUAUAUAAACAACUUUUAGUGGCACUUCUUAUACAAGCUACAAACGAAGGGAAUUAUGGUGUUGUAUUUGGCUAGAAACAGUGGUAGAUCAUAGCCCCGUCCCUAUGGAAUCUCUUAUGUUUAGUAGUGCUAUAUAUUGCAAUGAAUACGUUACUCAAGGUAUCCACUAUUUGUGUUCUCAUUGUGUUGUCGAGGGCUUUCAUGGCCGGAAUCACAGGGUUGUUGUAUGUCUUUCGGGCUGUGUAGCCGUGUUCCAGAAGUAUUCUCUCCUGACGUUUCGCCCACAUCUAUGGCAGGCAUCCUCAGAGGUUGUGAGGUAUGGAUAAACUAAGUAAGGAAAGGAAAGAAUAUAUAUCUGUGUAGAGUCCAGGGUGUGGCAAGAGUCCUUUGUCACUGGGAAGCCAGCAUUAAUGUUUCAGUUAAUCACCCUAAUUAGCAUUGGAAAGGUUUUGUCUCUUGCCUGGGGGCAUCCUUUGUUCAGUCAUUAAAAAACUCUAAAAUCAAAACAGUAGAUGGGAACCAACACUCUGAGGGCAGAGGACAGCUAAUGACUGAACAAAGGAUGCCCCCAGGCAAGAGACAAAACCUUUCCAAUGCUGAGUUUUUCCUGUUGUUUUUCGUCAAUGCGACUGUCACCUGGGAUGGCAACACCAAUGAUCCAAACCUUUUUCUUUUCCACAACUGUGAUGUCUGGUGUGUUGUGUUCCAGAACUUUGUCAGUCUGGAUUCGGAAGUCCCACAGUGUCUUUGUGUGCUCAUUUUCCAAUACUUUUGCAGGUUUGUGAUCCCACCAGUUCUUUGCUCCUGGGAGGUGGUACUUGAGGCAUAAGUUCCAAUGAAUCAUUUGGGCUACAUAGUUGUGCCUCUGUUUGUAGUCUGUCUAUGCGAUUUUCUUACAGCAGCUGAGGAUAUGAUCAAUGGUUUCGUCGGUUUCCUUGCACAGUCUGCAUUUUGGGUCAUCAGCUGAUUUUUCGAUCUUGGCCUUAAUUGCAAUAAUUUGUAAUUAUUAUUAUUAUUAUUAUUAUUAUUAUUACAAAUUAUUGCAAUAUAGUGGGAACUCAUUCCACUCCCUGGAUUUGAACUGCCAACCUUUUGGUCAGCAAGCUCAGCACCUCAGCAGUUUAACCUGCUGCACCACGGAGGGCUCUGUAGUCUUUAUCAGGCAGUGCAAAUUGCAUCCAAAGGAGACUAGCCACACCUUUCAUUGCAAUCACAUUCCAGAAUACAUGGAGCAGAAGGGUUAAUGACAUAUCCCAUCCUCCCUCCCCAUCUUCAACUACUUUUUUGUCCAUGUGACAUAUCACAUUCAUGAGUCGAUAAUCCCCUUCCAGACAAGGCCCAUCAGGAGUGCUGCCUUCAGGCCAACAAACAGCCCACAGGCCCAUCCGUCGGCCCCGGCUCCUCUCCCGACUUAUUUAGAUUGACAUCUCCUUUUGUUGUGGAUCUGCUCCUCGCUGUUUCGGUGGACUCGGCCUGGCUGCGCUGCCUCUCUGCUUUGCCAUCUUUAGAUAAAAGUGGGCAUUUUCCCAUGUCAGUUACUGUUCCGGAGCGAAGCUGUGAGCCAGGCUCAGCACGAGAACUCUCUCCUGCCAGGGCUGUUCCAUCUUCACGAGGGUCUUCCUUUGUUAGUCAGCAGCAAAAAAAUAAAAGAGAGGAACAAGGAAAAAAAUAUAUCAGGGACGGAGAUGCAGGAAGGUCCCGUGAUUAAUUUUUCAUCUUGAACAGCCAGGAAUGUCUUUGGAAGUAGAUCUUUUAGAGACCUCACAUCAUAAAAAAUAGGCUCUUACUCAUUUCAGUUCCUCCUCUCCUCCCAUUGUUGGCUGUUGCAAAGAUACCAUCUGGUGCAAACCUUGAGUGGCUCCUCCUUGUCCCAUCCUUCCUUCCAACUGCACUUGACCUUCAACUUUGUCCUUCGUGUUACGGGGUUUACGGCGAAACGCGAUUAUGUUUUAUUGCAAAAAUGGAGGGCCAGGCGAUGCGUUUUCUCCCCAGCAUUUGCCUCAUCCCAAGUGUCGCAUUCAUGUUCUUGCCGUGCUUUGAUCUAAAUAAAUAUCCAAGCAGGGAGACUCAUCGGGGACCCGCGAGGAAUAAUAAAGAAAAAUAAUGUGCCAUUGAUUUUGCUUGGGGUGUCUAAAUGCGUUUUUAUGAUUGUAUAUGUUUAUGGCUUUCCCACUGUAAUGUCAUGAAUUCCAGGCAAUUAAAAAGGACAUGAAUUCCAAAGCAUUUAACCAGGGGAAAUCUGCCUUCCAAACGCAGUGUAUUAAAAGUUGCAAUAAUUUUGGAGAGCUUGGAACUGCGGCAGAAGCUAACGGUUGUUGCUUUGGUUCCUGGUUAAAAAAAAUAAAAAGUAUGUGGUUUGGAAACGAACUUGAAAAAACAUGAAGAUCAAGGCAGAUCCUCCUGCAAAUGGAGAAAGGCAUUGCAGACUAACUCAACCAGAGAAGUCAGCCAUAGCAGAGCCAACCUGGACACAGUAUAUUAUUUGAGAACACAAAAAUGCUUGACCACCCUAACAACUACCACGUCAGACUACACAGAGAAGCCAUUGAAAUUCACAAGCAUCUGGACAAUUUUAACAGAAAGGAGGAAAGCAUGAAAAUGAACAAAAUCUGGCUACCAGUAUUUAAAAAGAACCCUAAAAUCAGGACAGUAAAUAAAGAACAACAUUCUGAAAACAGGGGAAUUACAGACAAGAAACAAUCAGGGCCAGUUAACACAUCCUAACAAAGGAUUCCCCCAGGCAGGAAACAGCCUAGUUUCCAACACUGCACAGCUUCUGAGGAUGCCUGCCGUAGAUGUGAGCAAAAUGUCAGGAGAGAAUGCUUCUGGAACAUACAGCCCUGAUAUGGUGGUGGUCUGACAUGGUGGUGGUUGUGAGAGUGGUCCAGCAUUUCUGUGUUCUCAAAUAAUAUACUGUGUCCAGGUUAGUUCAUCAAGUGCUCUGCUAUGGCUGACAGACUACGCAGCAAAUGAAGAACAACACUCAGAAAACAGGGGAAUUCCAGGCAGGAACAAUCAGGGCCAGCUAACACCUCCAAACAACGAAUUCCCCCAGGCAGGAAGGAGCCAGGCUUUGAAACUGCAAGGCCUUUCAGUGCUAAUCAAGCUGGCCAAUUGCAACAUUCACAUUUGCCUCCAACAGUCACCCAUGACAUUAUUCCACGGAUAUAUAAACCCCAAUUGCCUAGUUUCCAACAGACCCUACAACCUCUGAGGAUGCCUGCCAUAGAUGUGGGUGAAACAUCAGGAGAGAAUGCUUCUGGAACAUGACUGUACAGCCUGGAAGACUCACAGCAACCCACUUAUCAGAAAGAUCUAUCCUUUUUUCAUCUAUCACUGAAGAAGAGCCAUAUCACCUGAUACAGAGCUCACUUUUACAAAGUUUUAGAAAGUUUCUGAAGUUUGCCUUAAAAAGACUUCCAAGUAGAUUAUGUAAGAAUUUUCCUUUUGUUGAAAAAAAAAAACAUGCCAAUGAAGACAAAAAGAUAGACCCCCUGUUUUUUUUUUCUUUGAGUGAUACUGUUUUGUCAGUGUGGAUCCCAUCUAAAAAUGUGAGGAGGCCCUUUCCAAUUGUGUGAUAAAAAUAAAGCUAAAUAAUGAAGAUAUCUUCGUGAUAUCGACUGAAUGGCUUCUGCCCUCUAAGUCGGACAUCAAACCCUGCUUGAAAAGUCCACCGGUGCCAUUGGAUGAUGUUUGCUAUAGACUCACCAGGUUGGAGAAACAACUGCAGUCUACCGCUGUGUUUCUUUAAUGCCGCCUCUGUUGUUUUGCUCUCUCUAUCGAGAAGGAUGGAUUUAAUUAGCUGAUGCCCAUUGCACUUGACUUUUCUAGGCAAAUGCCCCAUACAAUGAAUAGUUUCAAGAAAACAUUAAGACGAGACGGUGUGUAAAGGCUUGUCCGUGUGAUGGAAUACAAUGCACUCAUUGUCUACUGAGCAUCUCUGAUAUGCAAUGGGAAAGAAGACUUGCAAAUUAUACAGUUAGAAGUUGAAAAUGUUUAAAAAUUCCAGGUUGACACAACACACACAUACAUAUAAGUAGUCAUAUGCCAAUGAUGGGCAACCUUUUGCACUUGGUGUGUCAAAAUUCACCAAAAAACCUAGCAUGACUUGGGUGGUGUGUCACUUCGAGAGAAAGACCAUAAUUUCACAAUAUAUAUAGUUUAAAUAACAAAAAUUUAUAACUGUAAUAUAUAACUGUAUUUAAUAAAUCAAAAACUAUUUACUACCAUUAUUUCCAUGUUCAACAAUCUAUGGUACCUCUUGCAGUUUCCAUGCUGAUUUCUCUUUAUUGUAGUUUCAAUGUAGUCAUGAAUAAUGAAUAAUAUAAUAAUAAUAUAAUAGUGGCGCAGCUGGCUAGUAACCAGCUACUAUAAAUCACUACUGACCGAGAGGUCAUGAGUUCGAAGCCCGGGUCGGGUUAAGCCUCCGACCAUUAAUAGCCCCGGCUUGCUGUUGACCUAUGCAGCCCCGAAAGACAGUUGCAUCUGUCAAUUAGGGAAAUUUAGGGACGCUUUAUGCGGGAGGCUAAUUUACAACACUAUAAAACUGCCAGCAAAACACGACAAAAGGAAUGAGGAAAUACAGCCACUACUGGAUGGUGAAGCAACAGCUCCCCCUGUGGCCGGAAUCGUGAAGCUGGAAAAAUGUUAAAAAUGCCUCUGAGUCUGUCUAAUGUAUGUUGUUUGUCUGUUGGCAUUGAAUGUUUGCCAUAUAUGUGUUCAUUGUAAUCCGCCCUGAGUCCCCUUCAGGAUGAGAAGGGCGGAAUAUAAAUACUGUAAAUAAAUAAAUAAAUAAAUAAAUACAAUAAUAAUAGAAUAAUAAUAGAAUGAUUAUAUAUGUGUGUGUGUGUGUGUGUGUGUGUGUGUGUGUAAUGUGCAUAAUUCCCAUGGAGUAAACAACAAAACCGCUGGACCAAAUCACACCAAAUUUGGCCACAAAAGACAUAGUCAUCCAAUAAAUCUGCACGCGACAGCGUGUCAGCAAAAAUGGCUAGGCGUGUCAGUGCUGACAUGUGUGUUAUAGGUUGGCCAUCACUGUCAUAUGCAAACCACAAUCUUUAAUCCAUUGCUGCACUUCCCAUUCCGAUGUCAGUGGCACAAUAAAUGUGCCUCUGGUUUUAGCCGAAACAACGAAGGAACUAUCCGAGGUGCUAAAACUUUUUUAUUGGUUAAUGUUCAGCACACUGGAUAGCUCCUUUAAAGUCUAAUCUAAUCAAAUCCAUAAUUAAUGAUGUUUUGUAUCUCAAAAACUAGAGCUGAUAGGGGAAAAUUGGUACAAUUUUUUUGAAUCAGCAUCUGGUCGCACCCAGAGAUAAGGCUAACUAACUGUAUGUUGGCUGGUGUAAUCCAAUCCACCAAAGUCAAACUCGAAAAUCAGGAAUGAAUCGUUUUAGCAAAAGUAAACUUUUGAUUUCGGCAACUAAUAUAAAAACAUCCUCAUGAGCCAAUGCAAGCUGGGGGGGGGGGGGGGGUCACAAGUUGGGUUUAAGAAGGGUCGCCAAAAACCAUCAAAAACACUUAGUUCUGAUGGUCUUAGGAACCCAAAUCACUUAUCCAACAUAAACAUGACCCUUUACCUUAACUACCACCAAUUCCUCAAUACUUUAUUUCCCAUACCACCAGACUUCACCACAGCAACACGUGGCAGGGCACAGCUAGUGUACCAUAUAUUCUCGAGUAUAAGCUGACCCAAAUAUAAACCAACCAGGACCCUCACCCGAGUAUAUGCCGAGGGGGGCUUUUUCAGUCUUAAAAAAAGGGCUGAAAAACUAGGCUCAUAUUCAAGUAUAUACAGUAAGUUCCUCAUGUUGUGGGGUCACAGCAUUCGGAAGGCUGAGAACCACUGCUCUAAGCCAUGGCUACCACAAGGGAAAAAGUGGGGAGAAAGUUGGAGCUAAACUGUCUUUCUAAAUCCCAGGAGGCUCAUUGAGCUGUCAUGUUGGAGGAACGACAUCCCCUGUCAGAACAAUCAAAGCUGAAUCCCAAAGAUGCCUUGAAGGAGGAGGAGAUAGAUUUCGCCUGCCAUACUGCAAACUGGUGCAGGGAAGCUAGAGGGAGAUUUAAUGCAAGCCCAAAGCUUUGCUGGUGGUUGUUACACCACGUUCUGAAAGCAGCCUUCUCCAAUCUGGUUGCCCUUUGGAUGUGCUGAACGAUCGGCCCAGUCACUUCCCAACAGCAAGGCCACUGGCUUGGUGAAGUGACGGAAGUUGUAGGGUUGACAUGUGUGGAGAUGUCAGGCAGAGAGGAUUUUUUUCUUUAUUCUCUUAUUCUUUCUUAUUCUUAUUCACAUUGGAUGGUAGCGUUACUUAGUUUUGAAUAUAGGUGACAGAGACUUGGAUAUUGAAGAACCAAAAACAAGUUUAUUUCAGGCACAGAGUUUAGUGGUUACAGUAACUUCUUUAAAGGCACUUAGAUAAUGGUUGCAAAGUUAUUAACUGAUCACUUUGGAUCUAACUGGGAUUGCUUUCCCUUCCUACUCAGACUAUACAAAUAAACCUAAACAAGUCACCUAACUGGCUUAAUUUAACACCACUAGAGAUCUGAGUUCCCUUGGUUUCCCUAACCUGGAACCAGUGUCUUCCCUGUGACUAGAAUCACAGACUAAACUGUUUUUUAAAACAUUCCCUCCUUUUCCUUCAAAUGGCGGUUGGCUCCGCCCUCGUUACUAUGGCAACCUGCCUCAGAAUGCUGAGCUGGUUACCAUCCCCCACGCAAAGCAUCACCCUCCUCCACUUUUAAACAUAGUUAAACCUGACUUUUAAAACAAAAUUAAACAUGACAUCUAUAAAUCAAAAUAAAAACACACUUCUUUACAACAUGCUAUAUAGCUCUGGACAUCUAAAGCAUGUGAGGUUGCUCAAAAUUGCCCUAAACAAGCUGAUAUUUCUAUGGCACAGUCUCAUAGUUCCUUUCCAAAAUGUUCCGCUAAAGCUUGGAAUGGUUAGUGGGAAUAUGCUGCUUCUUUGCAGAGAUGGAAUCAAAUCCAAAGAUUCAAGGAGCCAUGUUCGGGCACUCUUGUUUGCUGUGUCAUAAUAAAAUAAUAAUAAUAAUAAUAAUAAUAAUAAUAAUAAUAAUAAUAAUAAUAAUAAUAAUAUGCCGUGCAAAAAGAUCUCAGCUGGCAUUUGGAAACAAUAGACAUUGAUAAAAUUACGAUCUGUCAACUGCAAAAGGCCACCCUACUGGGAUCUGCACGCAUCAUCCGAAAAUACAUCACACAGUCCUAGACACUUGGGAAGUGUUCGACUUGUGAUUUUGUGAUACGAAAUCCAGCAUAUCUAUCUUGUUUGCUGUGUCAUUAAUAAUAAUAAUAAUAAUAAUAAUAAUAAUAAUAAUAAUAAUAAUAAUAAUAAUAAUAAUUUAUAUACUGUCCUAUCUCCUCAGGGGACUCAGGGCAGUUUCCAACAUGAUAAAAACAAUGCAAUACAAUACAAUACACAUAAUAAACAGAACCAUACAACUAUUUAAAAUAAUACAAAUGGUAAACAUAAAUACACAAUGUAUGAUCCAAAGAAUGAAAAAUAAAACUAGUAACAAAACUCCCUUUACACAACAACAACAAAGCCUACGCACACACAAAUGGAUGUCCUAUUUGUUAAUAAGCAGUUAGCUUAACAUUGUUGAAUGCAAGAGAGAGUUCCUUUCUAUUACUUUUAUUCUCAGUCCCAAGCACCAAAAUGAGCAUUGCGAAUGUAAGGAGUAUUGUUAAUUCUUUUUACGCAAGAUAAUCUCCCAGUUUGAGAUAAGCGACCUCCCUCCGAAAAAAAGGGAUGCUGACACCUGUCAAAACAUUUCCAGCCAAACUACAUCAACCACGGUUUAAUAUCCCUCCUUUCUGCCUUGAAAAGAUCAGUGUUAGCUAGCAAAUUACUCUAAGACAGCAACAUCAUUUCUGGAAAUGUUUCUGUUAGAUCAUGUCAAUAAAUUUCAACUUCCUUGCU